rnacentral:pre_miRNA from 1 species
UUGCUUUCCAGGCUUGUUUUCAGUUGCCUGCGAUCUGUUUAAAGACUCAGGCAGCUAAAGCAAGUCUUGGACGCUG